AUUUGUAGUAUGUGUUGUUGUAAAGCUAUGACAUAAAACUUAAACAUUCUUUUUGCCAAACUUUUUUUUUUAUGAAUUUUCUCCCUUAGGGGGUACGUUUUACCCCCCUUUCCCCUACAUUUUAAUGCCUCGUGUAAAUUACUUAUUUUAGUCUACAGAUAACUAAUAUUUAGUAAUGCAGAAUCUAAAUAUAAAAUGUAGACAGCACCGGUACUGUAGUGCAAUUUUUUUUUUUAUUUGUUGAACUUAUAUUGCCUCUGAGUAUUUUAUGUAACAAAGUUUAUGCAAUGACACUAUAAAACCACUCUAAGCUGGAGAGUCCUUUGAGACGAUGCCACCGUGAUAAUGUAUUAAGAUUUGAAAUACUUUUAAACAGUCAAUGAUAAAGUUGAGAAAAGACCAAAAUCUUAAAGUAUCUUUUACUUCUUGUGAAAUUUGGAAAACAUCAAACAAAAAGGGAAAAAAAGAAUGAUUUUGCCAGCAGCUGAAGUUUUAAAAACUAUUUUGUACACAAACCUUCAUCUCGUAUUAUUAAAGAAUUCAACUAAGCAAUAAAACAGUUAAAAGGCCAAUUGAUGAAAUAAAUGAAUAGUAACAUUGAAGGCUUCUUAUGUAAUUAUUUGCAAAUGACUUAUUUCUUUAUGCAAGUGGACAAAUAAACCCUAUUGAACCAUUUUUAUUUGCAUAUGCUCAUAAAUCCAAGAAAAACUUCUUUUUGUGAAAACGGAUAACCGCGUUUCAAUAUUUGAUUUUUCAAGGGCUACUUUAAAGAGAAAGCAAUCAAAUAUAAUAUCAAUAGCAACGAAUGGAGCACCUUUCAUGGUUGAGUCCUACUGUUGAUAUAGUGUAAGCCUACCUGGAUUGUUAAUAAUACAGUGAGUAAUCCAUUGAAAACUUAAGAUCUGAGUGGUGGAUUGCAUGAAUAUCUUUAAUUUGUUAGCACUGCAGUUACCAGAGCAACUUUAAUACAAAAAUUCUUGCUCAAAUGUGUUCAGAAAAUGACGAUAACAAUAUCCGUUGCUUCUUCACACUUAGUUCAAUGGUUGUCAAAAAGCUUUUGUUAGAUAGGAAGAUUUUUUUCUUUUUGACACUAUAGGAGUUCUUGGAUGUUAAAGAUCUCAUUUUAAAAUGAAAUUUAAUCGAGAGGAAAUCGGAUUUAACAGACUUGUUUCAUAGGCUUCAUUCUGUGAGAUUAACUGUUAAUUUACUUGAUGGGAUAUUUAUUAUUGUUUUCAGUCUUCACAUUACAAGGUUAGAAAUUAGUGAAAAAUACAUAUGAAGUUCAUGAAUCAGUGAAUUGCAAUAUUAGCUAAGCAGGGGGUCUACCGAAUAUCGGAAAACAUUGCAAGGUGUCUACGAGCUAAAAAAACUUUGGGAACCACUGCUUAAGAUGGAAUGGCUUCUGAAACCCGGAAAGAGCUAAAAAAGUUGAAUAUCGAUUGGAGUGUCAGUACCUCAUUGUAUGGACAAGAAGGCCCUGUCAAAGUUAAGCUACAAGGAGAACUCAAGAGACCCCGAAGGCUUUCAGGCAUAUCCGCUGAGGGAAGUUCUUUAAAAAACUUACAUUCUUCGAUAUGUUGGAAAUAGAUUGCACAUUUUAUUUCUACUUGCUGGGAUUAAUCUACAAGAUAAAAGAUUCCGUGGCAGUCUAUUUAGAAAAGUUCUGCAAGUACAUGAAACUAAGAGAGGCAAUAGAGAAAGAUUUGACCAACCCAGAUGUAAUGGUGCAGAUAAGAGUCUUAGGUAGAAUGUUACACAUUUGUUUAUAAUUCUUUGAGCUUGUCUAAGUAAUGAUAAAAUUAAAUAUAUAAUUUUUAAAAAUACAUAGAUUUACAUAUACCUUUAUAUUAUACAUAUAAGGUCCUUGGAUGAAACUAUUUUAUAACAAGUCCAGUGGUUUGAGAGAACUGAGCCAUUUGGAAACAGUAAAGAUUUUUUUAUUUCAUAUUUCUAGCUGCUUUUUUAAAUUAGUAAUUAUAAGGUUAAUAUGAGAAAUUUUCAGUGUUGUUACAGACGCCUUUAGUGAGACAAUGCCUCACUACAUUGAAGGAGCUUCAACUAAAUCCUGCUUCGAUCCUCACCCUGGAGUUUGAUGUUUUUGGACACCCCUUACUCGAUGAUGUGCUUGUUGUGCUAAGGGAUGUGCAGCUUCAGCCUGGAGAAUGGUUCUUUAGGACAGUAUCUAUCUUAGCUUCAUGUUUUGUUAUGGUUCUAGAAAGGCAGUUAGAUGACUAUCUAAUAGGGAAACUGGCUAACCCGACAGAAGUUAUGAUGCAACAAACGCCAUCUGCCCUUUUACAUAAUAUUCAUAGUAAGAGGGCCCCUAAUGCUUCUAUAGGUUUUGUUGAUGCUAAGGUUAAGUGCCAAGCCAACAAAACAAUGGACUGGUUGCUGACAAAAGCUAUUAAGGAGAAGGGCAGAUUGAUAAAAUUUGCAGUUAAGCAGGCUAGGAAGAGAAAGGUUUUUGAGGAGAGGGUGCAAGUUAUGAGCAAGGCUUUAAUGUCUAGACAGAAGAAGAUAUCUUCAAAAUGCCUUCUUUCAAGGGAAGGGAAGGGGAACCAUGUCAACCUCACCUAGCCUAGAGAGUGGGGAGGAGUUCAGGAUGUCUUUAAAAAGAAAAAUGAUGGAGAAAUAAGAAAAACCUAGCAAACAAGUUGAAACGUGAGGAAAAUAAAAAGAAGAAAGAAGAUGAACUUGUUCAGAAAAAGGUGCAAAGAGAAUUAAACAAACAAGAGAUGCAGAGAAAAAAGAAGAGCAGGCAAGAAAGAAAAUAGAGGCAAAACAACUUUAAAAAUUGACAAGUGUGCCACAAAAUACAUCUAGUGACAGCAACGAUGACCCCAUAGUUUGGAGACAGAUGGAGGCAGAAAUGAUUGAUGACAACGAUGACGAAUUGGAAAAUGCUAGCAUUCAGACCGAAGACUUUAGCUUGGGAUGCCAAUCAAGAGAAGGGGAUGGCCUUAAGGUACAGUGCAAUAUAUGCGAUAGUUGGUGGCAUACAGGUUGCAGACAAUCAGUAAAAGGCUUAAAUGAUGAACCUUUGAAUCUUUGAUCUAUUUAAUUUAAAUUGUAGAUAUAUAUUUUUAGCAGUGGAAUUAGAUUUAAAAUAGAUCUAGGUCCAAAAAGACUGGAUUCAUAAAAAUUAAAUAUAAUUAAGAUCAGACUGGAUUAGCAAAGCAGGACCCAUCUUCUAAAGAGACUGAUUUUUAUUUUUAGAAUACUAGGUGUAGGUCUAUUUAAAAGUAUAUUAUUAGUAUAAAAUAUGCUAGAUCAAAAGCUAGGAAAAUGUUUGAAAAUAACUUUUCUAAAAUAAAUCUAAAUCUAAUAAAUUUUGUUAAAUUAUGAAUAUGAUAAUUGAAAAUCAAACUAAAGACAAUAAAUAAUUUUUUUUUAUUUUCACAGAAAACGUCAUCAUGGGCUUAAUUGGUAGUAGUGUGCCACUAGGUGGUGAGUGUGGUGACAUGAUAGAUGCACUGAUGAUGCAGAGGCAGGGAGCAGCAGUGGUGUAGUUGUAUUGGAUGAUAUGCUAACUUUUACGCCUGGCAACAUCACAUAGCUCAAGAAGUUCAUAGCAGAUUUCUAUUUUAUUGACUUGUCUACUGCGGCGGCUGGUUAUGAACUGAAGUUUGGUAACAUCGAAUAUCUUCUUAGUCAAGGAACUGUUAUAAAGAGAACAUCAUUGGCGAUGGGCAUAACUUAAGGAGAUGUGGCUGCGGUGUGACAUGAUUGUCGUACACACUUAUAGUAGAUCUAUAUAUAUCUUUAUUAAAAUUUAAAUUUUAUUCAUAUAUCUCUGAAAGUUAAAAAAAUUACAGCCUUUUUAACAGAAAAAAAUAAGAGUAUUUUUUCUGUCAUUUUUUUUACACGUGGUGCCUUGUCUUGAAAUGUAAAAUAUUUUUUUUUUACUUCUAUCUAUAAUUUCAAAGAAAAAUAAAUAUCAACAGAUAAUCAAGCAUCUCUGUUUAAAAUUGUAUUCCAUUAUCUCUUACGGUUCAAAAGUUACUGUCUUUUAAAUGUGAAAAAGUACUACUUUGUCAAUCGUUUCUUUCUUACAAGUAACCUUACUUUAAAAAUGCAUAAGAAAAUUUUGUCAAAGUCUAUCCCUUGUUUGAAAUUAAAAUAAAUAUCAGGACAUAAUUAUGCAAUUCUGGUGAAAAUUUCAUGCAAAUAACAGAAUAGUUAUAAAGUUACAGCAUUUUUAAUGCAAAAUUUUCCUUUUUCAGUCACAAAGUUUUUGUUUUAAAUAUAGGCAAAAAUUUUUGCCACUAAAAUUGCUAGAUUACUUCUGUUCUAAUUAACUUAGAAACAUAAAAGAGGUAUCAAUAAACUCAGUUUAAAAAGUUCUAUCUAACUAUAUUAGUUUUAUUACAAUAUAUUGAGUUUGAAAUUUUUAUCAAAGUACCUAAAUAUAAUGUAAAUAGAUUGUAAAUAUAAACAUGUAAGUAGAAAAAAAAAAGCCUUUUAAUAAUACUUUUCUGAAAAGCAUUAAGGACAAGUGAAUGGAAGGUUGGGUAUAUAAACUACCAGGUACAUGUAAACUACAUGUAACCUAGUGACACAUAGACUAUACAGCUCAAAUAAUGAAGAUCCAAAUGUAGGAUAAGCCUAACUGUCAAUUAAUCAAUGACAAUGUUGGGGAAAAUGUGUUUAAUUAUAAGAAUUUGAAGACCAUAAAUAGUUUUAUAUAUAUUUCUCAAUAAAUUAUAGAGUAAAACAGGGUCAACAGACAGCGACAUUUCGUAAGGCUAACCAGACAAACCACUUGUUAUAAACAUAACUUCUUUAUUUUAAUGUUUAUACCGGAAUUGCUAUAUUGCUACUGAUCAGCCACCAUUUUCUCAUUUCCGACACGUGGUGCUUCCUUUUCCUUGAGAUGGCAAAGUUCAUCUUCAUGUCAAAGCAGACAUACGAAAAAAAAAAAUUUUUCCCUCUGGAUAACAAGGGGAAGGGUUAUGGGCUUAAGGCUAUUUUUAAUUUGAUGACGCAUCAUCUCAAUGAGACUUCUACUUUUGGCUUCUAAAUAGAUGAGGAAAUAUGUUAUAAAUUGAGCCUGAAUUUUUUUUAAGGGGGGGGGGGGGUGUCUGUUGUUCAUGACGGAUGUUAGUCUGUCAAGCUAUACAGACAACAUAACUUUUUCUAUUGAUAAAAGUGCAAACUAAUGUAAUGUAGUUUAAGAUAAUCUGGAUGUAGACUAGAUUAAAGUAAUCUAGAUUAGUUAUAAAAGUUGUAAGAUGCCAAUUAGAUUAACUGAGGAAUUUUUUAAAUCUUCACUUAGUGUAACAAGCUACAGGUAAAACUAGUGUCUAACCACCUUGGUGUGACAUCUGUUACAAGCCUAGAAUAAAGAUCUGUGGACACCUCCCCCCAGGUCCCAUCCCUUUAAGUCCACUGAGCAUGCUAGAAGAGUAAAGACACUAUAAAAGUAAAAAAAAAAAAAAA